rnacentral:sRNA from 1 species
CCAAUGCAAUAUUUUCGCAUUUAAAAAAACUUAACCCGGAAUAAACAACAUGGCGACGUCCUUGUAAUUUUACAUCAUUGAAUAGAUCUAGAUAUCUAGUCUAGUUUUCAUCCAAAAAAUCAUCUCCGUUGUCAAGCAUGGCUAACGUGUUGUGGAAAACAAGUCAUCUACUGAGCUUGUUAACACCCAAAAAUCUCAGUAAACAUUUAGGGUCUACGUUUGGAAAUAAAUACAAUUCCACUUUGUCAGUAUUAAUGUCCCAGAGUCAGAUCCACGGUUCAUUGCCUUCACAUAGUACUAAUGCACUAUCAACACCAGAAAGCACUUUAAAGGUUGGCAACUGUGGAUUCACAUAUAUGCAGACUAGAUUUUAUCAAAAUGUUCUAAGGCCACGUCUUAUCUGUGAUGGGUGCUAUUUCACAUGGCGCCAUGGGAGAAAAUAUGUUGAAUGCAGUGACCAUCCUAGACAUAAGCAAUCUAAAAAACUAUGCCCUAGAAAAGUAUGGAAAGAAGAUUAUUCCAUUGGCAAAAUAGCAAAGGCACACGAUUGGAAUUAUGCUCCUCAUCGAGCAUUUUAUCGAACAGUUGAUCGAAAUGUUAUUUCACACAACUGGCUGGCUAACAAAAUUGGAAAAGAGGUUUAGAAAGACUUGUUAAUGUUUAUCCUUUUUUUUUUAUACAAAUUUGUCAAUUGGUUCUGUUUUUUAAAAGAUUCAUAAUUUUACUGGAAUAGAGAAUAGUCUGCUAAUUAUCAUUUUAAUUACAUUUGUGUCAUUGAAUCUUUUUUGAGCAAUGAUUUAAAAUAAAAUAAAAAAUUAAUAGUAAUAACA